AUCUCACGUCACAUGACUGCUCCAUUCCUCCUCCCAGUGGGCGGGACAAGAGAAAUUCGUGCAGAGAGACAGAGAGAGAAGCAGCGGGGCCCCUAUGGAGGUCUGCGUGUGAGAGAUCUGCAGUGCAGAACAAACCCAGUCAUAUUAAGCUGCUGGCUGCUUUCCACUGCCUCCGGAUGUCACAGCCUGCGGGUUCUUUUUGGUGUUUGUCCAGGUUCCUCCCGUCUCUGCCGAGUUUCUCACUUUAGAAGAUGAUGGGCUACACAUUACGUUUCAGUUGUUUCCAGUUGUCCUGACUAAGAUUCUACUACGUUUUCAAAA